rnacentral:rRNA from 1 species
UCUGUUAAAAAAGGUAUGGAUGACUUGUGACUCGGAGUGAAAGGCUAAACAAACCUGGAAAUAGCUGGCUCUCCCCGAAAUGCCUUUAGGGACAGCCUCAUACAAAUGUAGCGGAGGUAAAGCACUGGAUGGACUAGGGGGCGUCACUGCCUACCAAACCCAAUCAAACUCAGAAUGCCGCAAAACAACGUAUAGGAGUGAGACUGCGUGCGACAAGGUUCGUAGUCGAAAGGGAAACAGCCCGGACCAACAACUAAGGUCCCGAAAUACCGCUAAGUGUAAAAUGAAGUUUGGAUGCACAGACAGCCAGGAGGUUGGCUUAGAAGCAGCCAUUCCUUAAAAGAGUGCGUAAUAGCUCACUGGUCGAGCAUACAAGCGCAGAUAAUGUAACGGGGCUAAGCGGUAUACCGAAGUUUUGGAUCUAACACGUUUUGUGUUAGGUGGUAGGGGAGCAUUCCAUGAGCUGAAGAAGCAAUAUCCGUGAGGGGUUGUGGAGGUAGUGGAAGAGAGAAUGCAGGCAUAAGUAACGCAAAGACGGGUGAGAUUCCCGUCCGCCGAAAACCUAAGGUUUCCUGGGUAAAGGCAAUCUGCCCAGGGUAAGUCGGCCCCUAAGGCGAGGACGAAAGUCGUAGUCGAUGGGAAAUCGGUUCAAAAUCCGAUACCUUUAUCAGUUUCGAGGGCAAGACGCAUGAGGUGAAACCCGGCCGGAGAAUGGUAGUUCCGGUCGAAGCAACGAGCUUUUGAUAGCGAUAGGCAAAUCCGUCGCUUGAGGUAAGUUGUGACAGCUAGCGGAGAGAAAGUUGAAGCGAAGCGGGUGUAAUCACGGUGCCGGGAAAUACUGUCUAAGGCUAGGCUGAUAAAGACCGUACCGCAAACCGACACAGGUAGGAAGGAUGAGAAAUCUAAGGCGCACGAGAGAACUCGCGUUAAGGAACUCGGCAAAAUGCACACGUAACUUCGGAAGAAGUGUGGCCCGAUUCGGUAAGAAGAAGAGGGUGGCACAGAGCAGGCCCAGGCGACUGUUUAUCAAAAACACAGCCAUCUGCUAAUCAGUAAUGAAACGUAUAGGUGGUGACACCUGCCCGGUGCCGGAAGGUUAAGAGGAGAUGUGAGGGGAGCCCCAAAGCAUUGAAUUGAAGCCCCGGUAAACGGCGGCCGUAACUAUAACGGUCCUAAGGUAGCGAAAUUCCUUGUCGGGUAAGUUCCGACCCGCACGAAUGGUGUAACGAUUCUGGGCACUGUCUCAACGCGAGACUCGGUGAAAUUUAUAUACCGGUAAAGAAGCCGGUUACCCAUAGUUAGACGGAAAGACCCCGUGAACCUUCACCGUAACUUACUAUUGGGACUUGGUUUAUCAUGUGUAGAAUAGGUGGGAAACUGUGAAGCUUGCUCGUUAGGGUGAGUGGAGUUGAAAGGUGAAAUACCACCCUUGAUGAAUUAGGUUUCUAACCUGUUCCGUGAAGCCGGAAUGGGAACAGUGGUAGGCAGGCGGUUUGACUGGGGCGGUCGCCUCCUAAAAUGUAACGGAGGUGCGCGAAGGUCUCCUCACGUCGGUUGGAAAUCGACGCAGUGAGUGUAAAGGCACAAGGAGGCUUAACUGCAAGAGUGACAGCUCAAGCAGAUACGAAAGUAGGUCUUAGUGAUCUGGCGGUAGCGAGUGGAAGCGCCGUCACUUAACGGACAAAAGGUACUCCGGGGAUAACAGGCUGAUCUUCCCCAAGAGUUCACAUCGACGGGAAGGUUUGGCACCUCGAUGUCGGCUCAUCGCAUCCUGGGGCUGGAGCAGGUCCCAAGGGUUUGGCUGUUCGCCAAUUAAAGCGGUACGUGAGCUGGGUUCAGAACGUCGCGAGACAGUUCGGUCCCUAUCUGCUGUGGGCGUUGGAUGAUUGAGAGGAGCUGCAUUUAGUACGAGAGGACCGAUGUGGACGAACCUCUGGUGUAUCUGUUAUUCUGCCAAGAGUAAGUGCAGAGUAGCUAUGUUCGGAAGGGAUAACCGCUGAAAGCAUCUAAGUGGGAAGCCCACCUCAAGAUAAAUCAUCCCUGAGGGUAUAACCCUCCUAAAGACUCCGGAGACACUAUCCGGUCGAUAGGUUGCAGGUGUAAGUACAGUAAUGUAUUCAGCCGAGCAAUACUAAUCAGUCGUGAGGCUUGACC